AGUCACGACCACACGACCUUUCGGAUCGGCUAAACAUCUUUAAGCUACCUGACGCGGGUCUGAAAUAAAAACAUCUCGCUCUGUCGCGCAGAUUAACGAGCACGGAAAAUCGAUGAUCGAGAGAGGGAACGUUGCCAGGAUUUGCAAAAAAAAAGCGCAAGGGUAAGCCUCCACUUCGUAGUGGGGGUAACGAACCGGCACAGGAGAGAGAUCGAGCACGAGUUCUCCUCCAGCAUUCCGUCACGGGCGCUCGUGACCGGCGGAUGUGUUUGCGUCGCCGUUAGGCGUACUUCGCCGACGAGAGAAAUGCGCGGUGGCGUUUUUUUUUUCGCAACGAGACGUGUCCAGCGGCCAGUGAUGUGGAAAAUUCGAGGGACGUCGUUUUGAAUGAUCUACGAGGUAUGCGCCGAUCCGCGGACUUCAUCCGUCUGCAAAUCGCUGAUUUGUAACUCCGACAUCGACAGGAUUUCCAAAGAGCGGUAUCACCGGUAAUUGUUUCACCACGGAUCGCUGGAAGCGCGUGUAAUCAUCGAGGCGCGAAUUUCUCAAGGAACGCAGCGAAACACGAACGAACGAAGCGAUGAACUUCCGACGAACCAGACCUUGCUACUCUUUCUCUAAAACUGUAAUAUUUUAUCAAAGAUAAAAGUAUUUCAGAAAAAAUUAAA